AUACUUACCUGGCAGGGAAGAUACCAUGAUCACAAAGGUGAUUUUCUCAGGGCGAGGCUUAUCUGUUGCACUCCAAAUGUGCUUACCCCUGUGUUUUCCCCACAUGUGGGAAACUUGACUGGAUAAUUUGUGAUAGUGAGGGACUGUGAUAGCACUUUCCCAUG